rnacentral:rRNA from 1 species
AUUGAACGCUGGCGGCAUGCCUAACACAUGCAAGUCGAGCGGUAAGGCUCCUUCGGGAGUACACGAGCGGCGAACGGGUGAGUAACACGUGAGCAAUCUGCCCUUCACACUGGGAUAACCCCCGGAAACGGGAGCUAAUACCAGAUACGACCACUUCGGGCAUCCGAUGGGGGUGGAAAGUUCCGGCGGUGAAGGAUGAGCUCGCGGCCUAUCAGCUUGUUGGUGAGGUAAUGGCUCACCAAGGCUUCGACGGGUAGCCGGCCUGAGAGGGUGACCGGCCACACUGGGACUGAGACACGGCCCAGACUCCUACGGGAGGCAGCAGUGGGGAAUAUUGGACAAUGGGCGAAAGCCUGAUCCAGCAACGCCGCGUGAGGGAUGAUGGCCUUCGGGUUGUAAACCUCUUUCAGCAGGGACGAAGCGAAAGUGACGGUACCUGCAGAAGAAGGACCGGCCAACUACGUGCCAGCAGCCGCCGUAA